rnacentral:rRNA from 1 species
UGCCAGCCGCCGCGGUAAUACGGAGGGUGCAAGCGUUGCUCGGAAUCACUGGGCGUAAAGCGCACGCAGGCGGCUUUUCAAGUCGGAUGUGAAAGCCCCGGGCUCAACCCGGGAACUGCAUUCGAAACUGGGAGGCUUGAGUUCGAGAGAGGGUGGUGGAAUUCCUGGUGUAGAGGUGAAAUUCGUUGAUAUCAGGAGGAACAUCGGCGGCGAAGGCGGCCACCUGGCUCGAUACUGACGCUCAUGUGCGAAAGCGUGGGGAGCAAACAGGAUUAGAUA